AUAUGAAUUGUACGGCCUUUCCUCUGUACCUUUUCGAGACGGGUAAUAUUAUGUUUAGUAAACGGGUCCCAAAAAUCACAUGCAUAUUCAAGUUUCGGUCUAAUUAUUGAAUUGUACG
rnacentral:lncRNA from 1 species